AUAUGAAAUUAUGAAAACUCUAUGACAAAAUAAAAUUAAUUGCAUCAUCAACGGAAAAGUUAUAUAAAUCACUCUAACUUCUUUUCAAUUUCAAUUAAAGUGUCUUCAUCUAUUUCACAUAAUUGUUUUUAACUGUUUGAUGAUUUUCAUGUAAAGUUUACUAGGUAUAACACCUAUUGUGCGGUAGUAAACACGCGCGAAUUGGCUCACGAAAUCAUUUCAUAACUUUUUGUUCUAAAAUUGAAAGUUUGGAGAGUGAUAAGUAAUUGUUUCUUUUCCAAGAACAUUUUAAAAAAAUGUGUAACUGAUGUUUGCAUAAUGUAAGUAAUUAUCGAUUAUCUUUAGUAUGAAACUCGUAAAACAAUUUAGUCAACUUAAGUUCAUAAGAUCAAGAGUUGCAUUUUUCAUAUCCAAAUCGAAGCCAUUAAGAUAGAUCAAUAACGGCUAAUAUCUUAUUGUUAUCUAGAAAAAUAUUGAAGUGCGUUGUGCUUGAUAACUGGAACUCGGUAUCUAAUCAUGACAUACUGAGACAACAGAAAAACAAACAAAGUCUACAGAAAAAAGUGCAUUAAACAGGUGAACAUGAAAACUUUAAAACUCACUUUAAAACACCAACCAUUAUCAUGUUUAACAGCUAACAGGUCAAAUGAAGAAGUAAAGCUAAUAGGUAAAUUAACAUAAAAGGUCAAUGAAAGUUUAAGUUUCUUUCAACCAAAGUCCACUUGUUCAAAAGGCUGGUGAUUGAAUACAAACAAUUUUAUACAAAGCAAUAGGUAGAAAAUUAUUUAAGCACAGUAAUUUUGGAAUAACACUGUCAGUUUUGCCUAUAAAUAAUAAUUUAUUAAAUUCAUUUCGAUUUAAAAAAAAAUCCGAUAAUAAAUAUGUGUAUUAUACAAUAAAAGAAGAAUCUUAUUUAUAGCUUCCACAUGUAGCAAAACUACUGUUAAGCAAAACAAAACUAGGCAAAUAGAAACAUUUCUGGUUAAAAACGUUCAAAAACUAUGACUCUUGCUGUUCAAGAAAAUACUACAAUAUUUACUAUUAGAAAUUAUAUCUAAAAGUAAUUCUGAGGCAAUGGGUUACUCAUCUGGAAUUUAUACUAAUGAGAAACGUAAUAGUUAAAUAGUGUUUUUACAAUCAACUUCUAAACAACGCUAAUUAAUUAAUUGACUCAUGAAUUCAACAUAUAUGCUGCUUAAGUUUAAUUUUAAAUAUGCCAAGGAAUUCCACUACAUUCAAGUUAAUUAUUUUCCGUUACCUUCAUACAACUUUUAGAGCAAACAGUUUUUGUCGAAUAUUAUUCUGGUAUAAACCAUUGAAACUUCUUGAAAUGUGAAUCUUAUUACACUUUCUUAAAUUCAUUAAACAUUCGUAUUUGAACUAGUGUUUAUGUCCCAAAGUAUCUUAACGGGUUUAUUCGAAUAUCUACAUUUGAAAUUAUUAAAAUCAGUUGAACUGCAUUUACUUAUCAGUUUUCUUCUACAGUUUUCUAAGCAGUCAGUGGUUUAAUAUUAGUAAGAAUUUUUUAAAGCCAAAAGCAGUUUGCAAACUUAAUAUGCAAAAACAUUAAAAGGCAUUACAAAGCUAACAAACCGAAAAUAAAAUAUGAUUAAUCCUAAUAGAAAAUACCAACUGCACAGUUUCAGUGAAUUAUUUUUAGUCUGCGAUUAAUUUUAUUAACAUAGUGUUUAUUGCUAUUUAUAAUUUUUGUGCAAUGUCACGGCAUUGAAGAAACCAGACUUUUAUUAAAAUUGUCGAGAUUUCUUCACACUUCAUUGCCUUUAGUUGAAAUUCCCUGAAACCUCUCUAGAAUCCGAAGCUGUUUCAUCUAACUGAAAUAUUCUUUAAAAUUUUGAAUUUACACUAAAGCGUGUGCAAUUAUCAUCAGCUAAUACUAGUUGAUUAUGCCAGUUCUAUUGCAAUAGUCAAGGCUUGCAUCAGAUACAAAUUACUCGUUCAUUAUUGCAGUUAUUUGCUGGUUGCUGGUCACUACUCUUUAAAUUCAUCGGUUAAUCCGAGAGCAAAUACUUUUUGGCUGUUUUAUAGGGCCUUGAACGGUCAACGAUUUUUGUUAGCAUUCUUAUUAGUACUGACUGGUGGAGUUUUUAAAUCACAUUUUUGCUUUCACAAUACAUACUCAAGAAAUUGUUUGACCUCUUAUUCUCCAUAAAAUGGAAACUUUGCUUUAUUAAUGGAGGAAAGGAGCAUUAAACCUUCAAACCCUGGUUACAUUUACUACUUACUUCUAGUAUAGUAAGUAUUUUGAUUGACUUAUUUGAAACUAUCUCCAAGUGUGCUUCAAGAGUUUUCAGUUGUCUUUCAUUUUAUUCAGUUUGCGCAAUUUCGUUUGCUCCAUGUAGCUGCAAGUUUUUAAAAUCCAACCGAUAUCAGCUCAAAUUUUCACUAGUACCUAUUUAGAGUAUUUAGUCUUAACUUGCGUUAACAAUAUAAGAGUUAAAUGAAGCUGCAAAUGUAUGUAAAUACAUUUUUGCAUUAUAACGACGGCUACCCAAAAACCCUAAGUUUCUCGGUGGUACGAUAUUCUGAGUUGCUUGAUGACAGCGUUUUGGAUUUUCCCCUGAACAAAAGAAAAGUAAAAUUUCCAAUUUUAUGCUGAUAAGGCUAGUGAAACUUUUGUCUACUGACUAAAUGGCGUUCUAGGUCAAUCAACAUCACCUUUACACAUCAAAUGCUACAUCUCAAGAAAAAAGGUGAUUUGAAAGUUCGCAGCCUCCGCGCGCUGACCAUCAUUAUGAAUAGCCCGUGUUGAUUAGCAAAUUCUCGGUAAAAUCGCUGCAUAAGGCUUUUUUUCAGAUUUAUUAGUCAGUGUGAUUCAUUCAUAUUUACGCUAUCUAACUGCAUUUUUUUAAGCUGCGAGCACAAGCGGAUUCCCCUUUAGUUCUAAACGUGCAACGGUGUUGAACGUGUGUAUUCAACAAGGUGUUCUGUUGUUUAGUGUCGUGAAGCAUUAAAGUAGAAAAUAUAAACAAAUAAUCUCCUAAACUGAUCGUUUGUUGUUUUGGCGCGGAGUGAAGGUCGCGAACAUGAAGUUGUUAGUUAAAAAUAGUGUUGCUUGUUCUGAUCAGUAAAAAUUAGAUCAAUCUAAUCUCUUCUUGCAACAAUUACAGUUACUGACCUUGCAGCGGUUGCUGCUGUUUGGUUUAUGGCUGGCUAUUAGUAAGCAGGAGACUUCGCAAUGGGCACAGGCGAGUUAUUUUCCUAUUUGAUGCUUUACAUUGUAAUUUUUUCGACGUAGUUUUAUUUUUCUGAGACCAAAAUUCUAGACCAAGAUUCUUGCAAGGAAGUUAAAUACAGAUCAUUGCAAAGCCAACACAUUCCGUUGCUUUGUCAAUAAGCACUUUAAUUAUUUGUCACUGUUAAAAGUGGCUUGAUAAAUAAUGCAGUAAAGAUAUUUCAAUAGUUCUUACGAUUUUUUUAAAUUUCUUCUUCUUCGUUUACCAUAUUUGAUUCGUAGCAUCGUCGAUUUGAAUCAACAGCCAGUGGAGAAAUAUAUUUUGGAUUAUUUUGACUAAAAUCAAGGAGAAGUUACCCAAAAUAUAUUAUCCUUUCACUUCAGUACACUGUAACCUUGUAAUCAUUACCCAUUCCUAUUUCAAGCGCAAACAAAAAAAAAAGUAGUUCGCCCAUGAUAGUGAACCAUCAACGGAAAGCUGAUAAAAAUAAUUAGAUUACAUACAAACAAUAAUGCCGAUCAAGGAACAAAGAACAGAAGUAGUGCACAGGACGAACCGCGUUUUGAUGUUAACGUGAUGGAUAAUUAACUUUUAAUUGACGAAGGUAAAUUGGCGAUGGCGUUGAGUGAAACGCAAAACGUGGAUAAGCAAAGAACUGCCAGUUUCGGUCUUAACGGAAUAGUGGCCGUGAUCGAGAAGAAACGAAAAGACUUUCCCGGACAAUUGAAUCUGGACGGGCUGGAAUAUAUCGAUGAAGUUCCAGAACAAAACAAUAAUAGUGAGAGAGUUAUGGAGACUGAUAUUGAUGGAGUCAGUUCCACGUCGGGCAGCUAUGAUUAGCUAGUGUUAUUCCAGAAGAAUGGUCUUGGAGCCCAAGUUUGUCGAUUAUGGCAGCAUUCAUCCUACCCCUGACGGCCACACUCAUCAGGUUCAUCACGGA